rnacentral:lncRNA from 1 species
AAAUUUGUUCAAGUAUGGCAUGCUAGAGGCUGCUAAGUUUUCAAGAGAGGUGGCGUAGAGAGAAAAAAAAUUAAUAUUUUAUUAAUUUAGUCUCCUUUGGCGUUCUAGCAAUUUUCUAUAAAUAGAGGGCUAGGUUAGAAUUGAAAAUCACACCAGAAAUAUAAGCUUUCUCGCUUUCUCUCUUUAUAUUAUCGAGCGUAUUUUGUGAGUAUUUUGAUACUUUGAGAGUUGCUAUUUAGUGCAAGGUUCCUUCGGCUUUACAUUCCGGUCAGAAGUACUGCUCUUUUGAGGUAAGGGAUUUUAAGGAUUAUUAUGCUUAUCAUGUUUCGUAAUUUUUCUG